GAUGAACGCUGGCGGCGUGCCUAAUACAUGCAAGUCGAGCGAAGCGGGGACGGGGGAGUAAAAAGUGGAUAACCUCCUUUCAGACCGGGAUAACGUCGGGAAACAGGAGCUAAAAAGGAUACUUAUGGAUGGCGCCGCGGUGCAUUAGCUAGUUGGUAAGGUAACGGCUUGCCAAGGCAACGAUGCAUAGCCGACCUGAGAGGGUGAUCUGCCACACUGGACAUUAUAACCGGUCCAGACUCCUACGGUAGGCAGCAGUAGGGAAUCUUCCGCAAUGGGCGAAAGCCUGACAGGGCAACGCCGCGUGAGUGAUGAAGGUCUUCGGAUCGUAAAUCUCUGUUAUUAGGGAAGCGGUACCUAAUCAGAAAGCCACGGCUAACUACGUGCCAGCAGCCGCGGUAAUAC
rnacentral:rRNA from 1 species